rnacentral:lncRNA from 1 species
CCGCCUAAACCCCCACUUUGAUCGCUACUUUCACUUAGAUAGAAAAUAAAUAACUUUUAUUUGUGCAUUUAUUUUUUUAAUAAAUUAUAACAGACUUGUUGAAUACUUUGAUGAACACUCAUUAUAUUUUGUUUCCCCAUAUUUUCAAUAUGUUCUAAUACUAUCUAAUCUACAUGUCACUUUAUUUUUCAAUUUAUGUAUUUCAAUACAAUUAUGUAUUUUUUAAGUAUGAAUAGACACUUAUUUAUAUGAUGUAUAAUAAGUUUAUUUAAAUCCGCUCAGUUCACCUAGGUCCUCACCUAACUGCCUAGGUGCUAGGCCCUAAUCCACAACCCACUAGUGCCUAAAAUCUUUUAAAACCUUGCUUUAUAGCAAAUGUAUUGACGGAUGUGGGGUACUCAUCUUCUAGUUUGCUUAUAGGGAUUUGUUUUAGUAGGCAAGUUGGAGACAAAGAGUUAUGUCAAAAAUAAAAUGUCCAUACUACUUUUUAAUUUAACGUUUAUUUAAUAGAAUGACGAAAAUGAAGAUGAAUUGAGACUUAAAGAGACGAAAAUAGCAGUUUUAUAAAGUAAAGCGAGACAAAAGCAAUUUCAAAGGUGAAGUGAAACUAAAUAACAAUUUUAUGGUGCAAAUCAAUUAAUAAACCUUUUAACCAAUUUUGAAUAUAUAUUUUUUUCUAUUUCAACAUAUCUAGUUUUAAUAUUAUAUGUAGUUUUCUUUAUCAAUAAUAUUGUAUAAUGUUUAAACUUUGGGAUAAAUUCUCUCAUCCUUCACUAAAAUUUGCUAGCCACAUUAUCCACAGUUUUGGUGUAACUUUACCUUUUGGUUGUGUAUCCUUCAACAUAUCUAGUUUUAAUAUUAUAUGAUAGUUUUCUUUAUCAAUAAUAUUGUAUAAUGUUUAAACUUUGGGAUAAAUUCUCUCAUCCUUCACUAAAAUUUGCUAGCCACAUUAUCCACAGUUUUGGUGUAACUUUACCUUUUGGUUGUGUAUCCUUCAACAUAUCUAGUUUUAAUAUUAUAUGAUAGUUUUCUUUAUCAAUAAUAUUGUAUAAUGUUUAAACUUUGGGAUAAAUUCUCUCAUCCUUCACUAAAAUUUGCUAGCCACAUUAUCCACAGUUUUGGUGUAACUUUACCUUUUGGUUGUGUAUCCUUCACCCAAAGUUAUACUAAAACUGUGGCUUUUAGUAUAACUAUUACUUAAGGGUUAUUUUUUUAUGGUUGUGUUUAAAAAAGAAAAAAUACUCAUGUUGUGUUAUGAGAAAAAUCAAUUGUACUAAACAAGUACUAACAUAAAAAAAAUGUUUUAUUUGGUUGAAAAGAUAAAACUUUGUUCAUUUAAAGAUGAGUAGAUUCAAUAAGUAAAACAUCACAAGUUAAAUCCGGUUGUUCAUCAAACCAACAAGAAUUCAAAUUGAAAAACAAAGUCAUAC